CAAAGUGAAAAUAUCCCGUCCCACCGUUCCUUUUCUCACCCAUGCAAAACAAAAAUAUUCCCAUGUGCCUUCCUCUCCGUUAUUCUCUCUCCCCCAUGGAAGUAUUCCACCAUCCCUUCCUCUCUCCAAUCUCUCUAUCCCCGUUGAAACCAGCCCGUUCCUCUCUCCAAUCUCUCUCUCUCUCUCCCCCAUUGAAACCAGAUCUAUUGUUCUGUCAAACUAAUGCAAGCAAGUUGGGCAAAGGAUAUGCCAUGGUGAAGAGGAUACUUCGUCACAUUUUCUUUUCGGAUCUACAUCUGGUUCGUAUCUGACAUACUUUGUUUCGAUUUUUUUUCUUGCCGGUUGACCAUCCUAUCUAUUCUUCUGGAUUCAGAGUCAGCUAAUGUUUGUUCACUUAUUUGGUCGUGUUGUUCUCGAAUUUGUCCGAUUUAUGUUUUCUUUAUUGGAUUUGGAUUGAACCCUGAAUCUUCCCCCGUAAAAGAAUUUGACACUUCAUGCAAAUUGAUUCAUAGCCCAGCUAUACCCAUCAGGUGAUUCAGAGCACAUCUGUAUCCAUCAGGCAAGCAUAAAAUUAGAACUAUCGUCUAUACGAGAAACAUUGCAUUCAUAUAUACGUAAUUGAAUGUAUGGUGAACAAGUUCAGGAAAUUUAUCCAAGAUGGUUCAGCGAAAAUGAUUUCAGAUUUUAAGGUUCUAGCUGCCCUGAUUCUCCGUUCAAUUGUUAGGCGACAAGAUACUUAUUUUCUUGCCCACAAUGAAAAAUCAAGAUAUUAAAGGUCUCAAAAAGAUCGAAAUAGUAGAACCAAGCUUCACAUUUUCUAGCAUUGACGUUCCUUCCACAAGAGAGGACUAGAAUAUUUACUUUCCGGUACAACUAUAUUUAUUUUGAAAUAAUUAAUUCCAAUUUUUUCUUCAUAUUAACACCACUCUUCCUUUCGCAGUUGUCGUUGCCGUAGGAACUUACAUCGCUCAUACUAAACAAACAUAGGCACUCAUGCAUGGGAUUUCAAAGAUAUAUGAUAUUGUGAUUCGAAUUGAGUGAGUAUGUUGAAAGAGCUGAAUGAGUACAAGUGCUAAUAGUUACGAGUCUUGAAAUAUACAUGGAUGAAAAAAUUAAUGCGGCAAGGUGAGCCAAACUAAUGAGGAUUAUUUCGGCCGUGUUGUCACCGUAAUAUCAACAACUGCCACGAAGGUACAUAUUUAUAUAAAUAACUACAUGCGCUAUGUGUGUAUUUAUUGUAUAGGAAAGUUACUAUCAAGUGCGCACAUAGAACUCGCUAUCAUCUACAAGUGCAACUAGAGUUUAUAUCCAUUUGAAUAUCAUCAGGUAAUCUAAUACCUUUGAAUGCAAUAGUUUGGUGCAACCGAAGUUGAUAUUCAGACAUCAAAAAGGAGACCCAAAGUAAUGAUUUCACAUCUCCUGUGAAGAUGAGCUGCUGAUUAGUAGUAUGCGUAAGCAUAAGUUGCAGGAACAUCAAUUGUAGACGUGCAUAAAUCUGUGAUUGGAGAUGUGCUCUUACCUUAUUAUUUAUACUUGGAAUGCGCUGAGCAGAACUCCGUCAUUGAAGAUGUACCCUUUACUUAUUAUUUUCUUUGAAUAAUGUUGUAUGAUACUCCCAUAUGAUUUCAGUCUGGUACAAAGUUGUGGAUACAAUUCAAUAAGUUCAUAGAAAACCCAUAUGCAAGGAUAUAUAGUUUAUAUUUGUAGAUGCUCUAUGUUAGGACAUCCUUCUAAUUAAAGAGUUAAAGAAAUAAACCCGACAAAUAAGUAACUCAUUGAUUCUUAUUUAUUUAUAUACUAUUUCAGAUGGUGAAGGAUUUAGUCAAGAGCGAUUGAAUGUGGAAUCACAUGGUAAUUUCCUUAGUAAGGCGAUUCUCCUUUUUUGCUGUGGGUAAUAUGUGUAAAAUUCAAAGAACAUGGUGAUGAUGGUUCCAAUGUAUGGCUUCCCAAGUUUCCUUUUUUGGAUCAUUCAUUAGGUGGCAUAUGUAUUAAUUAACAUUUGACCACUACUUUUUGUACGUCGUCCAGAAUUAUUAAUUUCAUUAGUUAAUUCAUAUUUUUUGGAAAAUGAAUAUGUCAGUUAAGAGGAUUUUGACUACCUUUUCAGAAAGUAUUCAGGGCACCGAGUAACAAGUAAUGGAAGCUCAGGUCUAGGUAGUGGGAUAAAUAUAAGAUAACAAAUCAUAAUAAAUAAAUAAAAAACAUCAUGUAGCUUUUACGACUCUUCAAGUUUGAAGUUUAUUCUAGAUUUCCAGUCAAACAAGAUAUAUGUACAGGUCAACUCCUCUGUCCCAUUUUACAAACAAUCCUUAUUAUUAAGCCAAAACGCAUAAGCAAAUAAUUGUUGUGACUGCAGCAAUAAUAAGACCUCCUAAAAUCAUUCCAAGUUGGUACUACAUCACGUUAUAUGAUGGUGAAAACUUUAUAGUAUCAUUAGCGUCCAUUCUUUCUAUGAACCAGGGGCCACAAAUGUGUUUCGUUGCACUCUUUUACUUCUUGCAAGUGCAUGUUUUACCUAACAUUUAGCAUGAUAACUAUGAUUAUUUUCCUAUAAAACCAAGAAAACUAAAACACUAGACUUUGAAUCGCUUUGCAAUAUGAUCAUUAAUAGUAGCCAAU
rnacentral:lncRNA from 1 species